AUUGAACGCUGGCGGCAUGCUUUACACAUGCAAGUCGAACGGCAGCACGGGUGCUUGCACUUGGUGGCGAGUGGCGGACGGGUGAGUAAUGCAUCGGAACGUGUCCUAAAGUGGGGGAUAACGCAUCGAAAGAUGUGCUAAUACCGCAUAUACUCUGAGGAGUAAAGUAGGGGAUCGAAAGACCUUAUGCUUUUGGAGCGGCCGAUGUCUGAUUAGCUAGUUGGUGGGGUAAUUGCCUACCAAGGCGACGAUCAGUAGUUGGUCUGAGAGGACGACCAGCCACACUGGGACUGAGACACGGCCCAGACUCCUACGGGAGGCAGCAGUGGGGAAUUUUGGACAAUGGGCGCAAGCCUGAUCCAGCAAUGCCGCGUGAGUGAAGAAGGCCUUCGGGUUGUAAAGCUCUUUCAGUUGAGAAGAAAAAAUUGUAACUAAUAAUUACAGUUCAUGACGGUAUCAACA
rnacentral:rRNA from 1 species